AUGAACGCUAGCUACAGGCUUAACACAUGCAAGUCGAGGGGCAGCAUGAACUUAGCUUGCUAAGUUUGAUGGCGACCGGCGCACGGGUGAGUAACACGUAUCCAACCUGCCGAUGACUCGGGGAUAGCCUUUCGAAAGAAAGAUUAAUACCCGAUGGCAUAGUUCUUCCGCAUGGUGGAACUAUUAAAGGAUUUCGGUCAUCGAUGGGGAUGCGUUCCAUUAGGUUGUUGGCGGGGUAACGGCCCACCAAGCCUUCGAUGGAUAGGGGUUCUGAGAGGAAGGUCCCCCACAUUGGAACUGAGACACGGUCCAAACUCCUACGGGAGGCAGCAGUGAGGAAUAUUGGUCAAUGGACGAGAGUCUGAACCAGCCAAGUAGCGUGAAGGAUGACUGCCCUAUGGGUUGUAAACUUCUUUUAUACGGGAAUAAAGUGAGGCACGUGUGCCUUUUUGUAUGUACCGUAUGAAUAAGGAUCGGCUAACUCCGUGCCAGCAGCCGCGGUAAUACGGAGGAUCCGAGCGUUAUCCGGAUUUAUUGGGUUUAAAGGGAGCGUAGGCGGACGCUUAAGUCAGUUGUGAAAGUUUGCGGCUCAACCGUAAAAUUGCAGUUGAUACUGGGUGUCUUGAGUACAGUAGAGGCAGGCGGAAUUCGUGGUGUAGCGGUGAAAUGCUUAGAUAUCACGAAGAACUCCGAUUGCGAAGGCAGCCUGCUGGACUGUAACUGACGCUGAUGCUCGAAAGUGUGGGUAUCAAACAGGAUUAGAUACCCUGGUAGUCCACACAGUAAACGAUGAAUACUCGCUGUUUGCGAUAUACAGUAAGCGGCCAAGCGAAAGCAUUAAGUAUUCCACCUGGGGAGUACGCCGGCAACGGUGAAACUCAAAGGAAUUGACGGGGGCCCGCACAAGCAGUGGAGUAUGUGGUUUAAUUCGAAGCAACGCGAAGAACCUUACCAAGGCUUGACAUAUACAGGAAUAUUUAAGAGAUUAAAUAGCUCUUCGGAGUCUGUAUACAGGUGGUGCAUGGUUGUCGUCAGCUCGUGUCGUGAGAUGUUGGGUUAAGUCCCGCAACGAGCGCAACCCUUGCUAUUAGUUGCUACGCAAGAGCACUCUAAUAGGACUGCCGUUGACAAAACGGAGGAAGGUGGGGACGACGUCAAAUCAUCAUGCCCUUUAUGUCUUGGGCUACACACGUACUACAAUGGCUAUAACAAAGAGAAGCGAGACAGUGAUGUGGAGCAAAACUCAAAAAAAUAGUCUCAGUUCGGAUUGAAGGCUGAAAUUCGCCUUCAUGAAGCUGGAAUUGCUAGUAAUGGCAGGUCAGCAUACUGCCGUGAAUACGUUCCCGGGCCUUGUACACACCGCCCGUCACACCAUGAGAGUUGGGGAUACCCGAAGCCUGUGAGCCAACAGUUAAAUGAGGCAGCAGUCGAAGGUAGAAUCAAUGAUUGGGGUG
rnacentral:rRNA from 1 species